CCUACGGGUGGCAGCAGUGAGGAAUAUUGGUCAAUGGUCGGGAGACUGAACCAGCCAAGCCGCGUGAGGGAGGAAGGUACAGAGUAUCGUAAACCUCUUUUGUCAGGGAACAAAGGCGGGGACGUGUCCCCGGUUGAGUGUACCUGAAGAAAAAGCAUCGGCUAACUCCGUGCCAGCAGCCGCGGUAAUACGGGGGAUGCGAGCUUUAUCCGGAUUUAUUGGGUUUAAAGGGUGCGCAGGCGGUCUGUUAAGUCAGCGGUCAAACCCCGGGGCUCAACCCAGCCCCGCCGUUGAAACUGGCAGUCUCGAGUUGGAGAGAAGUAUGCGGAAUGCGCGGUGUAGCGGUGAAAUGCAUAGAUAUCGCGCAGAACUCCGAUGGCGAAGGCAGCAUGCCGGCUCCAAACUGACGCUGAGGCACGAAAGCGUGGGUAUCGAACAGGAUUAGAUACCCCUGUAGUC
rnacentral:rRNA from 1 species